GGAAUAUUGCGCAAUGGAGGAAACUCUGACGCAGUGACGCCGCGUGCAGGAAGAAGGUUUUCGGAUUGUAAACUGCUUUAGACAGGGAAGAAAAAAGACAGUCCCUGUAGAAUAAGCUCCGGCUAACUACGUGCCAGCAGCCGCGGUAAUACGUAGGGGGCAAGCGUUAUCCGGAUUUACUGGGUGUAAAGGGAGCGUAGACGGCGAUGCAAGUCUGAAGUGAAAGCCCGGGGCUCAACCCCGGGACUGCUUUGGAAACUGUAUGGCUGGAGUGCUGGAGAGGCAAGCGGAAUUCCUAGUGUAGCGGUGAAAUGCGUAGAUAUUAGGAAGAACACCAGUGGCGAAGGCGGCUUGCUGGACAGUAACUGACGUUGAGGCUCGAAAGCGUGGGGAGCAAACAG
rnacentral:rRNA from 1 species